GAGUUUUGAUCAUGGCUCAGGAUGAACGCUAGCGGCAGGCUUAACACAUGCAAGUCGAGGGGCAGCAUAAUGGAUAGCAAUAUCUAUGGUGGCGACCGGCGCACGGGUGCGUAACGCGUAUGCAACCUACCUUUAACAGGGGGAUAACACUGAGAAAUUGGUACUAAUACCCCAUAAUAUCAUAGAAGGCAUCUUUUAUGGUUAGAAAAUUCCGAUGGUUAGAGAUGGGCAUGCGUUGUAUUAGCUAGUUGGUGGGGUAACGGCUCACCAAGGCGACGAUACAGUAGGGGGACUGAGAGGUUAACCCCCCACACUGGUACUGAGACACGGACCAGACUCCUACGGGAGGCAGCA
rnacentral:rRNA from 1 species